rnacentral:rRNA from 1 species
UAAGGAAUAUUGGACAAUGGAGGCAACUCUGAUCCAGCCAUGCCGCGUGAAGGAAUAAGGCCCUAUGGGUUGUAAACUUCUUUUAGACGGGACAAAACCCCUUUACGUGUAAAGGGUUGAUGGUACUGUCAGAAUAAGCAUCGGCUAACUUCGUGCCAGCAGCCGCGGUAAUACGAAGGAUGCAAGCGUUAUCCGGAAUUAUUGGGUUUAAAGGGUGCGUAGGCGGACUAAUAAGUCAGUGGUGAAAGCCUGCAGCUUAACUGCAGAAUUUCCAUUGAUACUGUUAGCCUUGAGUACAGUUGAGGUAGGCGGAAUGUGUCAUGUAGCGGUGAAAUGCUUAGAUAUGACACAGAACACCGAUUGCGAAGGCAGCUUGCUAAGCUGUAACUGACGCUGAGGCACGAAAGCGUGGGGAGCAAACA